rnacentral:rRNA from 1 species
AUUGAACGCUGGCGGCAUGCCUUACACAUGCAAGUCGAACGGCAGCACGGGCGUUUGCUCCUGGUGGCGAGUGGCGCACGGGUGAGUAAUAUAUCUGAACCUGUCCUGUUGUGGGGGCAAGCCCGGCGAAAGCCUGGUUAAUUCGGCCUACGUUCUGCGGAGGCAGGCGGGGGGCCUCCGGGCUUGGCGCCGUAGUGCUGGCCGUUGGCUGUGUACUCGCUUGGUGGGGUCUAGGCGUACCAAGACGACGAUCAGAAGCGGGCCUGAGAGGACGACCAUCCACACUGGGACUGAGGCACGGCCCAGACUCCUACGGGAGGCAGCAGUGGGGAAUUUUGGACAAUGGGCGAAAGCCUGAUCCAGCAAUGCCGCGUGUGUGAAGAAGGCCUUCGGGUUGUAAAGCACUUUUGUCCGGAAAGAAAUGCUUGGCUCUAAUACAGUCGGGGGAUGACGGUACCGGAAGAAUAAGCACCGGCUAACUACGUG